rnacentral:rRNA from 1 species
AUGUAUGUUCCUUCAACAUAACAUUAAUGCACCAGAUCCCAUUAGAACUCCAUAGUUAAGAUCACUGAGGAUAGAGUAGUAUUGGGAUGGGUGACGACCCGAGAAGUUCUAUUGUCUUACAUG